CUGACAGUUGAGGAGUGGCUUCUGCAGACAUACAGACAUCAGAAACUCAGAGUCCAUCACUCAAAAAUUCUAGAAGAUUCAACUCCAACUGUGUUCUGUCCAUGCACUUCUCUUCUCAAACAGCCAAGGCAGACAGUCUGAGCUCCAACCAGUGAUCAAGUGGGCAUGGUCCUGGAGGCAUCAGCCCUGCAUCAGCUUAGCAGAACCACUGGGAGAAGGGGAAGAAAAGUUUCACCAAGAAAGGGAUGUGUGGCCAGGUCCAGCCAGCUGAGGUGCUCACAACUGAAUCCCAGCUACUUAGGAGACUAAGGCAGGAAGAGGGCAAGCUGGAAGGUGGCCUGGACAACUCAGUAAGUCUCAAAAUGCAUGGAGGCUGAGGGUGGAGUGUGGUUACCCAGCAUGUCACGUAUGAAUUCAUUAUUUUUAACUGCAGUUGUCAUUAUUAUUAAUGGCUGGAAUUAUCAUAGAUCUUGAGAACUUACUCUUCUUGUAACAUAAAUUUUAUAUCAUUGGAACAAAAUCCAUUUCCUCCACUGCCUAGCUCCUGGUGGC
rnacentral:lncRNA from 1 species